GAAAAACCUGAAGAGAAGGAAACCUUUUCAGGAGACAGCCAUGGAUAUGUGUGUCCGUUUUGUGCGACUCUGUUGAGAAGCUGCAUCAGAGAGAGCCUUAUGGAGGAGAUGGAAACCUUAAAGGGCAUCUGUCUUUGGGUAUUCUUGGAUUUGAUGGCAAAGCCUAAAAAAGGAGCUCUCCCCUGGAUGACCAGAGACCUCUUUACAGAACUGCCUUCCUAGCCUCACUGCAUAACUUAAUCGGGGUGAAGUUGACAAAUCUAGUCUCAACCUUCCUUGACUUCAGAUGCACAUCUGAAAGAUGGAGCUAUCAGCUUUGCCUUUCUCAUAGGAUUACUAUGAAGACUAAGAGUAUACAGGAAAGAACCUCAUGAAAUGAUAAAUAAUAAUCAUACACA